rnacentral:rRNA from 1 species
AAUGAACGCUGGCGGCAUGCCUUACACAUGCAAGUCGAACGGCAGCAUGACCUAGCUUGCUAGGUUGAUGGCGAGUGGCGAACGGGUGAGUAAUGCAUCGGAACGUGCCUUUUAGUGGGGGAUAACGUAGCGAAAGUUACGCUAAUACCGCAUAUUCUCUGAGGAGGAAAGCAAGGGACCUUCGGGCCUUGCGCUAGAAGAGCGGCCGAUGUCGGAUUAGCUAGUUGGUGAGGUAAAGGCUCACCAAGGCAACGAUCCGUAGCGGGUCUGAGAGGAUGAUCCGCCACACUGGGACUGAGACACGGCCCAGACUCCUACGGGAGGCAGCAGUGGGGAAUUUUGGACAAUGGGCGCAAGCCUGAUCCAGCCAUGCCGCGUGAGUGAAGAAGGCCUUCGGGUUGUAAAGCUCUUUCGGCUGGGAAGAAAUCGCACCCUCUAAUACAGGGUGUGGAUGACGGUACCAGCAUAAGAAGCACCGGCUAACUACGUG